UGUGACGUUACCAAACUGUUGCCUCGGCGGGAUCUCUGCCCCGGGUGCGUCGCAGCCCCGGACCAAGGCGCCCGCCGGAGGACCAACCAAAACUCUUAUUGUAUACCCCCUCGCGGGUUUUUUUUAUAAUCUGAGCCUUCUCGGCGCCUCUCGUAGGCGUUUCGAAAAUGAAUCAAAACUUUCAACAACGGAUCUCUUGGUUCUGGCAUCGAUGAAGAACGCAGCGAAAUGCGAUAAGUAAUGUGAAUUGCAGAAUUCAGUGAAUCAUCGAAUCUUUGAACGCACAUUGCGCCCGCCAGUAUUCUGGCGGGCAUGCCUGUCCGAGCGUCAUUUCAACCCUCGAACCCCUCCGGGGGGUCGGCGUUGGGGAUCGGCCCUCCCUUAGCGGGGUGGCCGUCUCCGAAAUACAGUGGCGGUCUCGCCGCAGCCUCUCCUGCGCAGUAGUUUGCACACUCGCAUCGGGAGCGCGGCGCGUCCACAGCCGUUAAACACCCAACUUCUGAAAUGUUGACCUCGGAUCAGGUAGGAAUACCCGCUGAACUUAAGCAUAUC
rnacentral:rRNA from 1 species